AUGCGGAAAUUAAUUAGACGCCUUAGUGAGCGGCAGGCUGCUUCGAGCGUUUCUCUCUUCGCGGAUGAUGUGGUCAUUUUUUGUCACCCUGAUUCUUCUGAGCUUUCCAGGGUCAGCGGUAUCCUCGACUUCUUUGGGUCCGUCUCAGGUCUUCGCGCCAACUUCGCCAAGUGCUUGGCUGCAUCGAUUCAGUGCCCUGAUGACAGAUCUGAUGCAGUUGGCGCCGCCUUGGCUUGCCCUGUUGUGGCAUUCCCGAUUCAGUAUCUGGGGCUCCCUCUCUCGCUUCGUAAGGUUCCGGCCUCCCAGCUUCAGCCCCUCGUCGACAAGCUGCUCCGUAAGCUGGCUACAUGGAAGGCCGCGCUCCUCUCGCGUGGUGAGCGCCUGGCCCUGGUCCGGCAAGUGUUAACAGCCAUGCCCGUGCAUAUCCUCCUCGCCAUGUCGCUCUCCCCUCCUAUCCUCAAGAAGGCGAACAGGAUCAUCAAAGACUUUCUUUGGCAUGGCCGCAAAGACGCUCGUGCCGGCUCUUGUCUUGUCAGCUGGGCGCGUGUCUGCCGCCCAAUCGAGCUUGGUGGCUUGGGGAUCCGCGAUCUACACCAGACGGGCAUCUCCCUGCGCGUCAGAUGGCUCUGGCUGGCUGCCUCUGACAGCUCGCGCCCCUGGUCCCACCUC
rnacentral:rRNA from 1 species